GACGAACGCUGGCGGCGUGCUUAACACAUGCAAGUCGAACGGAAAGGCCCUGCUUUUGUGGGGUGCUCGAUUGGCGAACGGGUGAGUAACACGUGUGUAACCGGCCCUUGACUUUGGGAUAACUUCAGGAAACGGGGGCUAAUACCGGAUAGGAGCUCCUGCUCCAGGGUGGGGGUUGGAAAGUUUCGGCGUUUGGGGAUGGAUUGGCGGCUGAUGAGCUUGUUGGUGGGGUAGUGGCUUACCAAGGCUUUGACGGGUAGCCGGCCUGAGAGGGUGACCGGCGACAUUGGGCCUGAGGUACGGCCCAGACUCGAAUGUGAGGCAGCGGUGGGGAAUCUUGCACAAUGAGCGGGAGCGUGAUGCGGAGACGCUGCGUGCGGGAAGACCGCUUUCGGGGUGUAAACCGCUUUCGCCUGUGACGACGCGUGAGUGACGGUACCGGGUAAAGAAGCACCGGCUAACUACGUG
rnacentral:rRNA from 1 species